GCUGUGAUGGCGGAAUGGUUAAGGCACUGGACUGGAAAUCCAGUGGGGUUUGCUCAGGCAGGUUCAAAUCCUGCUCACAGC
rnacentral:tRNA from 1 species